GUGUUUUCUUCCCAGUGCAUACUGUCAAUGCCGAACUCCUUGCCAGAGAAAACAAUACGAUGAAGAGGAGGAUGAAAACAUCAUCGCCACCCCAUAUAUAAUUAACCUUGCAACCUACCUACUUCUCUGGAUUUACUGCCAGAAGCCUACAACAUAAAUUCAGCUAACGGAAAUGAACAGAAUAGUCUAACCCCGCUGCAUUCCCUGAAGCUGAGCCUCUGAGGUCUUCUCAAGCAUAAAGGGGAAAAAAGCCAAACGUACAGAAGACGUUUGAAGGACAAUUGAGUAAAUGUGCCUGCGGUAUUCCACAUCAGAGCUAUGAAGAGGAAACUUGAGGUUACCUUUUUUAUGUACAUAUGGUUUGGGUUCCUGCCCCUGGGGUUAUGGCAAAAGCUAUUGUUGUUAAAGACAACAUGAUUCCUCAUGCAUACUGUAGAAAGUAAAAAAAAAAAAAAAAAAAAAAAUUAAAUUAUUUUACAUGCUUUAAUUAUAUUAUAAUGUCAUACAGGCUUCUACCUCACCACACUGCUCAGUCCUGAAUACAGUGAGAAAAAAUGUUGCAGUAUCAGAGAGCCAGCAUCUGACAGCUCAUGAAACAAAAACUCCCUUUUAUAACAAGAGGAAACAAAUUUUCAGAGGUGUUGUUUGGCAGAUCACAGAGGGGUAGGACUUGCUUCCUUGGUAAAGAAAAGUUCUGCUUUCUGUUGGACAACAUAGCCAGAGAUCAGUUGCUUGCCAACGUUGUGGAGAGGGUCAAACUCCCUAAAAGACAUCUUGUAGUAACGGGCCAGCUUUGUCCUACACUGAAAUUAAGCACUUAGCUGAGGUGCUUAAGCCAGGAGUCUGCUUGCUCUUGGCAGCUUCUCCCAUCAGUGGUAAGAGAGACCCUUCCUCCUGAGGGCAGCUGUGCCAGCAGGUUUGUUCAGCCAUCCUCUGUAGGGGUCUGUCCCUCAUCACAGGCUUCCAGGCUUAGAAAAGAAGCACCUCAGGUUGGCAGGAAGGCUGAGCCAGAAGAACCCAGCUUGCAACAUAAAUAUAGUUCGGAGCUAUGAAAAUCAUGCACAGCAAAAUCAGGCCUGGUUGGGUUGUCCUAAUUAAGCACUUGAAAACAAAUGGGCCUCACCUGCUGGUGUGAAGGUGAUUGAGGCAGAGAAUGUAGAAGAGGAAGAAGAGCAGUAUUUUACCCCAGUGUUGCAAGUAGCCAUGCUGUGCCCUCUGUGCAAAAAGAAGCAAGCUCUGGGGAGCCCUGCCUGAGGCUCUCCUGUCCUUGUGAGAGCUGUGAGGAGUCCUUUCAGCUGGCCAGGAGAGCUCUCAGGGCUCACCUGUGGGGCUGCAGGAGCCAGUCAGGCAUUAAGCUAAGCUGCAAAACCUGGGCUUGGUCGGGGACUGAUCUUCCUGUGCUACUUCAAGGUCAGUUCAAGUCAAGGUCAGUUCAAGCACUAAGCUCUAGAUGAAGGAAAGAGCUCUUUCAGGAGGUCUUAGAUGCCCUUGCUAGAAAAAAAGAAUUCUGAAAACUACCAUCUCCUUUGCUUUGCUUUUUAAAUUCUCCAAUUGCUGCUGCUGACAAGAUGGACAUCUCUACUCUGACAUAGCCAGUGCGAGCUCUGGAAAGGCCCGGAUUACCAACUUUCCUCAGAGCCUGAAGGUACAGGACACUUCUGAAGUCUCGAGGCAAUGUAAUUAAUCAGCUAUAUGGAGAGAUGGAGUCCAGUUAAACUAUCAGCCACUACUGGCGAUCUGCAGUGGAGCCAUGCUGAUCCUGCGGUACGUGAGGCAGAACUCCCUGUAUGAGCCAUUAAAAGAAGUCAGAUCCUGCUGAGGAGGAGAGGUUGUGUCCUGACUUGAAAAUUAAAGGUCAAAAAGUCCCACAGCAGAUCUGUGCUUUACACCAAGAUGAAAAUGAACUGCCUGGACAGAGUAUGUUGUCUUGGGUCACCAUGAAGAACUUGACCUGCCUAACUGAUGUGACACAGGGAAAGAGGUUCAGCUCUGCUCCCAUUGAAGUCGGCGGAGAAUCUCCCAUUAACCUGAAAUGAUUCACGGCACGCCCUUACCAGAGAGGAAAGGAGCGGUCUCAAAGUGCAGAGGAAGGAGCGCUGCUGUCCCACAGCACGUGAGUUAUUUAUACCAGUACAGAGCGGUGCUGCCAACCCACAGCAUUCAUAAUUGGGACUCAGACCCCUUGCAAGAGCGGCAUUGAAGACACAAGCCUUAUUCCCUGCCAUAAGAUUGGUUUUUCGGUCUUCCAGUUCUAAGUCACUGGACAUCGCUUGCAGUUAUAAUACCUAUGUUCUCAGCUUAACUAAAGGAUCAGAAAAGCUCUUGCACUAUUUCUAGUUUAUUUUAAUUACAGCUGACAUUGUCUGAUAGUCAAUGGUAAGCUCAAAUCAAAAAGGCAUUUGGCAAAAUCUGCCCCAAUUUUCCUAUGAAGCACUGGCAAGAUAAGUGCUGGCAGGGACAUAUUUCUGAUACAGCAGGGUUUGGAUUUUUUUUUUUUAAUUAACCUGAUAUUUGCAUCAAUGGUUAUGCAGACUAUUUGGCCUGAAGCUUGAGGCCCCAUGCAAACAAGGAGGCAGAGCGUAAAGUGGCCAUCAGACACAGGGACAAGGCAGGUUGCCCUAAGUGUGAUGGGCCCCUCGCAGUGGGUUUUACCCAUGCCCGUCCUUCAGACUGCUUCUCCACUCUGGCGUGAGGACAAGCCACAUCUCCUCAGUCUCCUUUUUUCAUGUUCCCAGAAGCUAAACUACAAGCCAGCACUCUGAAAUUAUAUUUGGGCUUGGGUCUUUCUCUUCAGUUCCACUCUCCUUCUGUUGCAACUCGGCAGACCAAGAUUCUGCAAACAGGCGAUGCCUUUAUCAGUACAUAAACUGAAAUACCCUAACCAGAGCUCCCUCCUGCUUCUCAGUUUCCAAAAUGCAGCUCAAGUUCUUAAUUGGGUAACCUGAACUUCUCUGUAAUCUAGGUAUCAGUGUGCAUGGAUGUAAUGGACAUGUCAGUGCUGUGUACGCUAACACUUUAAGUCAUAUAAUGGGUCUGUUCACUGGAAGAAUAAACACACCAUGCAAUUUAACUGCAAACUGGGAGGGACGCAGAGGAGAAAGUUAGCUGAAAGGUUAUCUCUGAUGUAAAAGCAGUUAUUUUCCUUUUGCAGAUUUCGGGGGUGAUCUGCAGCAGUGGUAUUCUCCUGAAUUUUGAGACUUGUCCAAUUAUGUCAUUUGAGAGGUGGGGGGAAAGGAUUGCUUCUUGCAAGCACUUUUCAGCUUGUAAGAUGCUUUUGUGUAGCCUGUGCAAGCCUACAACUGAAUAUUGCAAAUACAGUACUUCUAUGCAGAGGGAAGGAUUAGGAAAAAAAAAAAAUGAAUGUGUGAAAUAUAACAAAAGGCAGUAUUUGGAAUUGCACUGUUAGGAGACACAGCUGAAGUCAAUGGGAGUUUGAUCCAUGAAAGCACAGCAGGACCGAGCCAUAUAUAGGAAAGCACAAUCUGUCAAAAUUAAGUGCGUAGUUUAUGGUAUGCUUUUUGUUUGAAAUAACAUAUUACCUCCUAUUUAUAGUAAAGCAGACUAAACAGUUCUAUAUGUCUGCAUUUAAAAUUUUCAGACAGAGAGUAAGGAUACCUUUUACCUGGAAAUUGUAGACUCGGAGCUCAAAAUUGUUAGCAGCGAUAUAAAUGAAUACCUGUGAUUUUACAGGCAUAUAAAUCUAAAGCUUCUGCUUACAUAGCCCUGCUCUGGCUGAAGUAUUGGCUGGAUUUGCAGAUCACUGCUGGAGGACUACUAGGAAACAAAUGAACUUGCAAUGCAUAGUAUCUUAAAGGAAACUAUAAAUGGGAUAGGUCAAGGACUAGGCAUGUAAGCGACAGGAAAAAAUCUUCCUUUUAGUUUAUACAACUCCUGCUUCCAUGUCUGCGCAGAUUCCUAAUAAGGAAUAGUAACUUUUCGAGGCACUAGGCCUGUACAUAUUUCCUGACCUUAUAAUUCUCACAGUUCUAGACAUUCCAAGGUAGGGGGUCAUUCAGACAGAGUUGUAAUUUCUUGUGCAUAUUUAUUUCCAAAGUAUCUUUUGCAUAGUUUCCCAGUGAAAUCAUGUGCUGGAGCUGGGGAAUGCUAAAUAGGUUAUUUUUCAAGCUUGCAUAUAAAGGGCCUGUCAAACUGGACUGUUUUGGACUUAUCAAGCAAAAGUGCCAGAGCCAAAGCGUGAUGUUUGGGGCUCGUCCUUCCCAAUGCUGCUGCGAGCUGGGCUCCCAGCUUUCCAACUGGGGGUGGCGUAAGGAGGCUGAGGAGCUCGGGUUUUGUUAUCGGUGAGGAUUUUAAUGAUGUUAAAAGGCUUGAAUGCCUAGUUGGCUCAAGAGGAGUGUGACCUGAGCCUUCCCCCAAAAGUACAUCUUGUUAACCCUUCAGGGUUAGAUUCAAUGCUCCUUUUCCUUCACAUUCUGUAAAUAAACACUACAAAUUUUAGGGGAAAAGGUUAUAGAGGCCCAGCCUCUCUGUAAAUAACCUUAACUGGUUGUGAAAGCACAUUCUGAAUUCAUUUUCCUGGCCCUUCAAGACAUAUACUUUUUUAUUUUUUUGAACCAAUUACAUUUAUCUGAUCAAAGAAUUAAAAUGCAUUGGGGACCAGACAGCACACCAUGAAUUUUGAUUAUUCAUUUCUCAAAACACAUCAGCCAAGCAGCAGCUAGAAGUUAUCUACUGUCUGAAAGAAGUUUACACAAAGUAUUUGUCCGGCCAUUUUCAAAAACAGAAAAAUAUGUGCUAAAAAUCCUGCAGAUAAUAUAUUCAUGAAGGGAGAAGCUAAACUUGAGAGGAGUUUGCCCUUAACACUGCGUAUGCCCUGCUCAAAGCAGCAGUAAGGAAGGUUAGUCAGACCUCAGCUUUUAUCAAGAUGUGUCUAACUAAUCUAAAUUGAAAUGUGGGCACUUUCUUUCUGAACUCCAAAGGCAUGUAAUGCAUUUGGGACUGAGGUUUUCAGGCUCUUGUUGAAAAGUAAAUGUAGACUUUCUGCUUGCAAAAAAGAAAAAAAAAAAUCCUGUUAAAAUCUAACCUUUCUCUAAGUGUUUGAAAAGAAUGGCAAGGGGAAGAUCCCAGAGAAAUUGGGAGUGUUUUCACAAAUUGCUGGUGACAGUAAGUAUCAUUUUAUAAAACACCAGUUAGGCUGCAUAUGACAUAUGGAGACAAUUUCUGCCUCAGCUAUAUUUACCUUUCUCUUUGAUCUAAUGAGAGCAGCUCAUGUAUAUUGAGGCAGAACGUGGUCUACAGUAUCCUGUUUGGUUUGCUUAUUGGAAGAAGUUUGGAAUAGCUAAGUUGACACGUGCCAUUGUAAAUAGGAGGACAAGAUGGUGAAAUGAGCCUGAUUUAGUCAUGUGAAGGGACAGUUAUGAGGUGAUAUGAGUGAAAUGCAUUAAGUGCUGCCUUUUUCCUUUAUCAUUAGAGAAUCACUGAAAUGUAAGACUGGAAAGAAACUCCAUAGGCCAUAUAUUCUGUUCUCCUGCUCUAAGGCAGGAUCAAUUAUACAGCCAUCCCUGGCAGCCAUUUAAGUAAAAUAUUACUGGAAUAAAGAGAUAUUCUUUAUAUUUAGAAAGGGAAAUACCGCCAGCACAAUUAGUUACUUACCUUCUGGAAAAAAAAAAAAAUAAAAGAGAGGUUAUUCCAGCUCUCUAAGAGUUAUCAUUCAAAUUAGCUUGAUGAUUUGCUUGGGAUCAUUGGAGAAGCCUGACUACAAGAUAUAAAUGGAACAUAAGACAGGAUAUGUGGAAGUGAAAAAUAAGGAGAUACGAUCCUAGAAAGGCAAGGGAACAGGUUGAGCAGGGUUCCAGUUGAGGUGGUGAGCUCUAAAGGUGAUCGUAUAUUUAGGCAACAACUGAGUGAGUCCCUGGAAUUCAAAAACACAAAGGGCUGUGGGUUGUAGCUUGAGUUUUGAAUUACCUGGUGACUCUUCCAAAGGUUAGAAGAGAGACUUAUUAUGGCUUGUCCCCCUUAAUUAGUAUCAGAACUCUGUGUGUGUGUAUGUAUGUUUACAUAGCACUGUUUUAACUCCUUCAGAGCAAACAUGCACAAUAAUUUUAAGAUUCUUGGAGAAAAUAAACCUAAAACUUUCUUAAAGUACAAGAGAGGAGGAACAGUAUUGCACUGCAGAUUCAAUGGGUUUCUGCUUGCCUCUGCUGCAGUCAUAUCAGUGUAAGGCUCUCUGCUUGGUUGUUGCAAGUUUUUUCUCUAUAACCAGACCACUUCAUUUGACUUUUGUCAGCACUGCAGCUUUCCUCUGCUCUACUUGAAAGUGUAAACACUACAAUUAUUUGCGGAGUGUUAUUGGUCAUUUAUUUUAUCAAUCUAAUAUUCUUAUAUUAUGCAUCUUAAUACCACUAUUAACUGUUUGGGGUCAUUUCUUAUUUGUAUACCAGAAAACUGCUUCCAGUGUUAUUACUUAUUGGUCAUAAUCAAUUAGGGAAGUUUUUAGACUUUGGCAGUCUUAUAUAAAUACACUGGCAAAGUUCACCUCCUAUGAUUUCUGACAAUUAAAUUGUUCUGUCACUUUGGGACCUUCAUUAAUCUCAACUUGUCAUCCUUGUUUAUGCAGGUUAUAAUGGCCUAUGUGUGUAAGUGAAAUGAGAUGCUAAAAGCCCUUGGCUGUUUAACUCUUUGAUGAAAGCCAAGCAGGAAUAUGUUGUUGAAGGAGAAACUUGUUUUUUGUUUUUUUUUCCAUCCCCCAAAGUAGCACAAUGGAACUUAUUGGACUGUUUAAUGACUAGCUAUGAAAUAGGGUUUUUCAGAGAGGUGAAGAAAACCUAGCUGAUGGUAUUGUUAUCACAGUCUUUUGUGUGUCUGCAUGAGUGCACACAGAAAUAAAGAUGUGGAAACAUA